CCCACUGACCCAUUUUCUUUGGGGCUCAUCUCGAAGGUGGACUGAACGGAACCAUGUGACCUUGCUUCUAGUCAUGGCCGGAGGACGUGCAGUCUGCCGUUGACUCGUCGGAGGAAGGCGUAGAAGAUGGUGGCUGCGGUGAGUCCACCUUGGUGGUCGGAGAUCGAUGACGGAGGAAAGAGUCUUCCAGAUCCAGUUUCUCUCUCCUCCAUCUCUCUCUAUGGAAAGGAGACCUUGGUUGGAUUGCAUUCUAACAAAUUGGAAUCACCCGAGCUGAAGACCCAUAUUGAGGCUUUGACAGAAAUACGGGGCUAACUCAAGGACCUGGAAACAAAAUCUUUUUGAGGAGAGAGCUGCACUGAAAGCUAAACAGAAGCGUUUCCAAGAAGAGAGGCAUAACUUUAGGCUUUAUACACUGAAAAAUAAUGAAGUGCUUGCUAAGGAGAUCACAGAGCAUGAUGAAGAGGCUUUCAUGAGCUUUGAUGUGUUUGUUGACAGGCGGCAGACGUCCUAAGUCAGAAGCACCGGGGUUAUGACAUUUUGUAAGGAAGUACAGCUUUUUGAAACAAUGAUUUCGAUGAAUUGGUUAAUUGUAAAUUUUGCUCAGUCUG